UGUAAACUUAUUUUCAUCAAAUACAUCUUUGUUAACCACAUCUUCCUUAAUUGACAAAAGUUCAAUUGACUUAAAAACUGAGCAUUCGGUUGAAUUAGACAAAGAGAUAGAUUAUGAACCUGAACAUGCAAGCGAGUGUACAACAAAGAAGGUAAAAGUUUUUUAAACUUUGUAAAUAUUUUAAAUUUAUU